CAAACACACUUUUCUGUCUUUUUUCCUUCUAUAGUGGGAAUCUAUUGGAGCCACCAACUAUUGGACAGAAGUCAGGGUCAAAGUUCACCAAGGUGGAGAAAAAGACCAUCAGAGGCAAAGGUUAUGACUCGGACUCAGAAUCUGAUGAAGAUUAGAGGACUAUAAAGCUCCGUCUUUCUCAGGGCUUCCAACAUAACAGUCCUAAAUCUUGUAACACCACUUUGUGGUCACUUUUUUGUUUGUAUUUUUGCAGUGUCUAUUUAAUUUCUUCUCUUUCACCUUUGUCUUAUGUUUGCCCAUUUUAAGAUGACUGAAUACCACCUGAUAGUGUAUUUAUACUUCAUUUCAUAUCUCUUUAGGUUUUAAUGUACAGAAGCGAAACUUUUCUAUGGAACAUAAUUCUGGUGAAGGUUCUGUCUUUAGUGCUGAUUUAUCAUCUAAGGAAGAUUGAGUUUUUGCAAGACAGAAGAAUCAGACGCAUUUAAACAAUGGUGCAAACACAAACUCAUUAUUUUUGCCUCUGAUAAUGCUCAGAUGUCCGAUCAGUGAGCAUUGAACAAGUGCCAAGGAAGCAAACUUCUGUAUUCCACUAAGAAUUUCCACCUCUUUCUCCCAUUGAUGUGAAGGAUGUGCAUUUUCUUCCUUUUAUAGCAGUACAUGACUUAUUAAAAAAAUUAUAUAA